GGANUUGCGNAUGGGCGAAAGCCUGACGCAGCAACGCCGCGUGGGGGAUGAAGCUUCUCGGAGUGUAAACCCCUUUCGACCCGGACGAAUGCCCGCAAGGGUUUGACGGUACGGGUAUAAGAAGCCCCGGCUAACUACGUGCCAGCAGCCGCGGUAAAACGUAGGGGGCCAGCGUUGCUCGGAAUUACUGGGCGUAAAGGGUCCGUAGGCGGUGUGGCAAGUCGGAAGUGAAAUCUCUGGGCUUAACUCAGAGGCUGCUUCCGAAACUGCCGUGCUAGAGUGCGAGAGAGGCAAGUGGAAUUGCGGGUGUAGCGGUGAAAUGCGUAGAUAUCCGCAGGAACAUCCGAGGCGAAAGCGGCUUGCUGGAUCGCAACUGACGCUGAGGGACGAAAGCUAGGGGAGCAAACAGGAUUAGAUACCCUGGUAGUCCUAGCCCUAAACCAUCAGGACUUGGGGUUUGCCCUGUACGGGGCAAGUCCCGUAGCUAACGCGUUAAGUCCUGCGCCUGGGGAGUACGGUCGCAAGGCUGAAACUCAAAGAAAUUGACGGA
rnacentral:rRNA from 1 species